GUGGGGAAUAUUGGACAAUGGGCGCAAGCCUGAUCCAGCAAUGCCGCGUGUGUGAAGAAGGUCUUCGGAUCGUAAAGCACUUUCGACGGGGACGAUGAUGACGGUACCCGUAGAAGAAGCCCCGGCUAACUUCGUGCCAGCAGCCGCGGUAAUACGAAGGGGGCUAGCGUUGCUCGGAAUUACUGGGCGUAAAGGGCGCGUAGGCGGCUCUGUGAGUCAGGCGUGAAAUUCCUGGGCUUAACCUGGGGACUGCGCUUGAUACUGCAGGGCUUGAGGCCGAGAGAGGGUGGUGGAAUUCCCAGUGUAGAGGUGAAAUUCGUAGAUAUUGGGAAGAACACCGGUGGCGAAGGCGACCACCUGGCUCGGUACUGACGCUGAGGCGCGACAGCGUGGGGAGCAAACAGGAUUAGAAACCCUUGUAGUCC
rnacentral:rRNA from 1 species